GACGAACGCUGGCGGCGUGCUUAACACAUGCAAGUCGAACGGAAAGGCCCUGCUUUUGUGGGGCGCUCGAGUGGCGAACGGGUGAGUAACACGUGAGUAACCUGUCCUUGACUUUGGGAUAACUUUAGGGAACUGGGGCUCAUACCGGAUAGGAGCUCCUGCUGCAUGGUGGGGGUUGGAAAGUUUCGGCGGUUGGGGAUGGACUCGCGGCUUAUCGGCUUGUUGGGGGGGUAGUGGCUUACCAAGGCUUUGACGGGUAGCCGGCCUGAGAGGGUGACCGGCCACAUUGGGACUGAGAUACGGCCCAGACUCCUACGGGAGGCAGCAGUGGGGAAUAUUGCACAAUGGGCGGAAGCCUGAUGCAGCAACGCCGCGUGCGGGAUGACGGCCUUCGGGUUGUAAACCGCUUUCGCCUGUGACGAAGCGUGAGUGACGGUAAUGGGUAAAGAAGCACCGGCUAACUACGUG
rnacentral:rRNA from 1 species